GACAGAGGGUGCAAACGUUGCUCGGAAUCACUGGGCGUAAAGGGCGUGUAGGCGGGAAUGUAAGUCGGGCGUGAAAUCCCUAGGCUCAACCUAGGAACUGCACUCGAAACUGCGUUUCUUGAGUAUCGGAGAGGAAAGCGGAAUACCUGGUGUAGAGGUGAAAUUCGUAGAUAUCAGGAGGAACACCGGUGGUGUAGACGGCUUUCUGGACCGUAACUGACGCUGAGACACGAAAGCGUGGGUAGCAAACAGG
rnacentral:rRNA from 1 species